rnacentral:rRNA from 1 species
AUGAGCAUCAUGACCCUCUUCGAAGAUGCUACAGGGCUUAGAAUAAACCCUAAAAAAUCCUCCAUCGCCCCAAUUCGCUGCGACUACAUCGACCUGCAAAAUGUGCUACAUAGUUUUGCGGGUAGAGUUGUAGGUUUCCCCAUGACGUACCUAGGGAUUCUGAUCACCAUUUCCAGGCUGUGUAUAGUCCACCUGCAGUUUAUCCUUGAUCGGGUUCGCGCAUGCCUAGCUGGCUGGAAAGGACGUCUGCUAUCCGCCGGUGGACGGAGGGUUCUAGUCAGAAGUGUCCUGUCUGCUUUGUCAACAUAUGUGAUCUCCAUUCUCAGGGCGCCAGUCAAGUUGUUCAAAGACAUAGACAAGGUUCGCUGA